UACAGAGGGGGCAAGCGUUGUUCGGAAUUACUGGGCGUAAAGGGCUCGUAGGUGGCCAACUAAGUCAGACGUGAAAUCCCCAGGCUCAACUUGGGAACUGCGUCUGAUACUGGAUGGCUUGAAUUCGGGAGAGGGAUGCAGAAUUCCAGGUGUAGCGGUGAAAUGCGUAGAUAUCUGGAGGAAUACCGGUGGCGAAGGCGGCAUCCUGGACCGACAUUGACGCUGAGGAGCGAAAGCUAGGGGAGCAAACGGG
rnacentral:rRNA from 1 species